UAUAUUCACCUCCCCCCAUUUCCCGUACCCCUCACUCCCCCACUCUCUUCUCUCCUCUUUUUUUCCAUGGCACUUUCUAUUUUCACCUCCUCCCAUUUUUCUUUGUUUUUGGGCGGCCAACCCAUUUUUUUGGGGAGCAUCAUUCUUCUUCCCCUUCUCUUCCCUCACCGACACCAUACCAAUGACUCUCAUUCUUUCCAUUCAUCAUCGUUAUUCAUCACCGUCAUCAUUCUUCUCACCGUCAGCCACUAAUUUGACCACAUUCCACCCUCAACGUCCUUCCCUCUGUUUCUCUCUCUUGUUUUCCCUUUCUUCGUUCCUUUGGUUAUUACGGUCUCCGCCUACUAGAUCUUGUUGUCGGAGAUGCAAGCACUGUUGACCUCCACCUCCCGAUGCUUCGAUCAUCACUGCCACUCCUUCUAUCAUGUAUUGUUGUAUUCCAUCUCCAAUUUAGGGUUUCAAAUGUGAGGUUUUACUUAUUUAUUUAUUCCUUCUUUGAAUAUGUGUUUUGGACCUUUUUUUGGCUGGAUUGUUGACUUGAAUGGGUUAUUUUGAGAUGUUAUGUGUAGAUAUCAGUUCGGGUUGGUUUUUGGGCUUGGCCUAAUUGUGGAAUUGAUUUGGAUUCCUUGUUGUUGGGCUACUGUGAUUGCUUGGGUUUCUGGGUUAGCUCUUUUGGUCCACGUUUUUGUUACUUGGCUCUUGGUUCAUUAGCUCAAGGUUGCUUUUGUUGGGAUUGCAAUUACUUUUGGUUUCUCUUGGGAUGGUUGUUUCUUUUCGGGCAUUAAAGGUAUUUGAACCGGAAUGCCAAGUGGAAUUAUUGUUCAAACUUUACUAUUGGUAAUCUUGACAGUUAGAUGUGAUUGGAAAAACAAUGCACAUGCAAUAGCCAUGCUUUUUUUUUUAUUAAUUUUUUUAAAAAAAAACUUUUAAUGCUAAAAUCUUUGUUUCUUAAUUUAUUUAUUUUGUUUAUUCUUUUUUUAUAUAUAUAUAUAUAUUCUCAAAUAACUCUUUAAAAUCUCCUAAAAUUCCAAAGUUCUUUAUCUACUCAUUUAUCUAUUCUUUUUUUUAAAAAAAAAAAUAUCAUUUUUGAAAUAAUCUUGUAAAAUCUGAUUUUAAAGUUAGUUUACGAAACUCCAAUUCUUAAAUUCAAUUUUCCAAAACUCCAAUUUUUAAAAUUUAAUUCUUCAAAAUUCAAUUCUCGAAACAAUUUCUAAAAUUCUAAUGUUAAAUUUAAUUUCCCGAGAUUCAAAAUUUUAAAUUUAAAUUUCUAAAAAUUCCACAAUUCCAAAUUUAAUUUUUAAAAUGCCACCUUCAAAUAAAUUUUCGAAACCCUAAUUCCUUUCAAAUCAAAUUUUCAAAAAUUCAAUUCUCAAAUAAUUCUUCAAAAUUCCAUUUUCUUAAAUUUAAUUUUCAAAUUUCCAUUUUCAAAUAAUUUUUCAAAAUUCCGAUCCUCAAAUUUAAUUUUUUUUUUAAAAAAAAACUCCAUUUUUAAAUAGUUCUUCAAAAUUCCAAUUUCCAAAUUCAAUUUCUGUGAAACCAAGGUUUGGUUAAUUUUGAUUUUGAUAAUAACAAAAUAAGGUUUAGAACUAAUGAUUAUAUUUCAAGUGUGAUUAGGCAAGAUGAUUUCCAAAGUGACAAUCACAAAAAUAAAUCAAGCCAAUGAGAAAUCAUGAAGAAGAAGACCACCUCAAAGAGAAGUGUUUUUCAAGACCUAAGCUUCAUAAAAUCUCUUUGUAAGGUUGUUGGUGCACUAGGAUUUUCAUGCAUUACAUUUUUUACUUAUGCACCAAAAUCAUCCAAAAGUUAUUUUGUUUUAAAUAUUUUAAAAUUUGGAUAAUUUCAUGUUUUCAACUAAAACCUUGUGUUAAUUGUUUUUCAAACUUGUUUUAAAGGUUUUAAGUUAAAAAAGUUGGUUGUUGAGCCAAAAAUGGCUCAAUCGGUUGAAUCGGAUGAGGAACCGGUUGACCGCCAGCCCAACCGGUCUAGGUCUGGGUCGACCCCUAGCUCAACCGGUCGAGGUCCGGGUCGACCCCCAGCUCGAUCGAUCGAACUCCCAAUGACUAGUUUGACAUUUUUUUUCUUCUAUAAAAAGGCUCCAAUCUUCAUUGUUUCAGAAGCUUAACCUUCCCAAACCUUUCUUGAAUAUAUUUGAGCAUUGGAAGAGUGUUUUUUAGUGUACCAUUAUUCUAAAACUUGCAUAUCCUUAGUGCACCUUUCAAUCAUAGUUUUCUUGUAUCAUUUGAGCUUAAAGUUUUUGUACUAGGAUUUUAUGAUAUCAUUUAUUUGUAAAUCUUUGAGAGGAAGUUUCUCAAGUGUGGGGUAUUACUUGAAGGGUUGUUCAAGAGUGGGAUAUCUAUUGAAAAGUGUAAAGGGUGCUUGGAGUCAAAAGUCCAAGAGGGUGAAUUGGAACCAUAAUCCAAUUGUAUUGCUUGAAGGCUUGGUUUGGAAACCUUGAAUUAGUGGAACCUCAAACUUGGAAUUGAAGAUAGAGGAGAGUGGAUGUAGGCCGGGUUGCACAGAACCACUAUAAAAUCUUGUGUUUUCAUUCUCUCUUUCCUACUCUUUUAAUUUAUAUGCAAUUGUCUUUAUAUUGUUUAUUAUAUACUUGCAUAUAAUUGUCUCUUACAUUCACAUAGUUUAAAUUUGCAAAAAGAGACCAUCACACUAUUCACCCCUCCUCUAGAGUGAUUACCAUAUGUUGGAUUAGCCUAAUUUUUCUAACAAUUUCCGAUUUCCAAAAUUUCAAUUUUCACAUUUAUUUAUCUAAUCAUUAUUAUUUUUGUUAUUAUUAUUAUUCUAUUCUAUUUAUUUAUUUUUUUAAAGUACCAUUUUUAAAUAAUUUUUUCAAACUUACGAUUUCCAAAUUCAAUUUCCAAUUUCCAAAAUUCCAAUUUUCACAUUUAUUUUAUUUAAUCAUUAUUAUUUCCGUUAUUAUUAUUAUUCUAUUUAUUUAUUUAUUUAUUAAAAUUCCAUCUUUAAAUAAUUCUUCAAAAUUCCGAUUUCCAAAUUUAAUUUCCAAUUUCAAAAAUUCCAAUUUUCACGUUUAUUUAUUUAAUCAUUAUUAUUUUCGUUAUUAUUAUUAUUCUAUUUAUUUAUUUAUUUAAAAAAAAAUUCCAUCUUUAGAUAAUUUUCAAAAUUUUAAUUUCUUUCAAAAUUUAAUUUCCAACAUUCUAAUUCUUAAUUUAAUUUUCAAAAUUCUAAUUGUCAAAUAAUUUUCAAAAAUUCCAACUGCUAAAUAAUUUUCAAAAUUCCAAUUUCUUUCAAAUUUAAUUUCCAAAAUUCCAAUUCUUAAAUUUAAUUUUCAAAACUCCAAUUUUUAAAUAGUUUUUGAGACUUCAAUUUUCAAAUAAAUUUUAAAACUCCAGUUUUCUUUCAAAUAGUUUUAAUUCCACUCCAUAUUUCAAAUAUUUUUUUAAUUCACAAAUUUUCUUCGAUUUUCAAAUAAUCUUUUGUUUUCCUAGAGUUUUUUUAAUAAGCAUGAAUGAAUUUUUCAUAAUUCCAAAAUAAUUAAAUUUGUGAUAUUAAUUCAUGCAAAAUAAAUUGAGCUUCGGUGGGGGCUCUACAUAUAAGUUUUCUUUUUUGAUUGCCAAUUAUUAUGCUUAAUGAAUAUUACUCGAUCAUUGUUUUGUUCUUUGAUAUGCAUGUGAUAAUUUUAUACUUGAGUUAACCUUAUUUCCAUGAUAGCGCAUUAUUACUUGUUGCUAAGGUAUGUUCUCAAUCCUACUUCAUUUAUUUAUUUGUUAUCAUGCUCGAUUCGUUUUAUUAUUCGAUCAUUUCAUUGGUAUCCAUUAAUUUCUUUAUCAAUUGUUACAUCUGUCUCACCUUAUUUAGUAGAAACCUGUUUUUAGGGACUUGGAGGGGUUUUUCGGUCUUUUACAAUACCUUCCCAAUAAGUAACCUGACCCUCGGACCCAAAUCGGUUUUUCGCAGACCUGUUUUUCCUUCAAGAGUCACAUUUAGGGUUUUUUUCUUUCUUAUUUUGUUUUUCCCUUAAAAAAAUAAAACAAAAAUAAGUGGCGACUCCAAAUUUUUUCUAAAAAAAUCAUAUUUUUCACCAAAUAAAUAAAAAGCGAGUUUCGUUAUCGAGUGGGAACGCAUCGUGCGAAAUACGGGGUCCACAAUUAGGUUUAUAAUAUAUGUUGGAUACAUAGAACAUAAUUCAAAGUGGGGAAUAAGUUCUGAAUUAGGAAAAGUUUUCAAUAUGCUUUCAACAUAAAGUUAUGAAUGAAGAAGUGUAAUUUUGGAACAAUGAAAACUCUUGAUCCAUUAAUAACAUAUCAAGGAUAAGGAGGAGAAAGCAAAGGAUCACUGAUAGACGACUGAUCAUCUCAUUCAUAUGAUCAUAAUACAAAAAUAUAAAUUAAAGGAACAAAGGAAGAAGUCUCUCUCUACUUGGGACUGAAGAAACUUUCUGUGUUAAGUGGCAUACAGUUGAAUGCGACCUUCAAACCAUUGAUAAUCUGCUUCUACGAUACCCAUCAUGUGAUGAAUGACUCUUAUAUGGAAAAUAGAGGGGAAGAAAAAGACUACUGCAUAUGGGAUUGUAAUUGCAUUUCAGUUGUUGUCAUUGUCAAGUAAGAUUUUAAGUUGAAGUGGUUGAAGGGUGAAGCAAGCGGGCUUUCUGAUUCAGGUAUCAGCCACGUUUUCAAGACUAGAAUUUGACCUCACAGUGUACUCUGCUACAAGCUUUGCAAAAGACGACGACUUGUUCUCUAGCAAUCUGGUGGGGGUAUCAUAUUCCUCAACAAGCCCUGCACCAGCAGUUCCAGG
rnacentral:lncRNA from 1 species